GAAUUAUAUAAGAGGUCCCGCCUGCCCAGUGACUUUGUUCAACGGCCGCGGUAUUCUGACCGUGCGAAGGUAGCGUAAUCACUUGUCCUUUAAAUAAGGACUAGUAUGAAUGGCAUCACGAGGGCUUUACUGUCUCCUGUAUCUAAUCAGUGAAACUGAUCUCCCCGUGAAGAAGCGGGGAUUUACACAUAAGACGAGAAGACCCCAUGGAGCUUUAAACUAAAAUCAACUAUCUCUUUACAACUGCCGACAGGUAAAACUAAUAAUUAAAUAGUAAUGAUCUAAGUUUUCGGUUGGGGCGACCACGGAGAAUAAAAAAUCCUCCUUGAUGAAUUAUCAAUUAACCUAGAGCCACAACUCUAAGUAAUAAAAUAUUUAACUACCAUUGAUCCAAUCUUAUUGAUCAACGAACCAAGUUACCCUGGGGAUAACAGCGCAAUCCAUUUCAAGAGUUCAUAUCGACAAAUGGGUUUACGACCUCGAUGUUGGAUCAGGGCAUCCCAGUGGUGCAGCCGCUACUAAAGGUUCGUUNGUUCAACGAUUAAAGCCCUACGUGAUCUGAG
rnacentral:rRNA from 1 species